rnacentral:sRNA from 1 species
GUCCGGGUACUGUCCGGUGAACAGGGUCGGCCGGCUCGGGACACA